CAGGUAUAUUACUGCUCAUUGCCCAGCAGAAGAGUUUAGAAAAGUAAAAGACAUCUCAAAAUCUUCAUGCUCACAAUCCUUCCCUUUCUCUUAAUCAUCAUAACAACAUGUUCUGUUCAACCAACUCUGUUGCAUUAAGACCUUGUUCCAACUUCCUCAGUUCUUUUUUGUUCUCAGUACCUUUUUGUUCUCUGUUUGAAAGUUGACCACUCUAGUCUGCAUUAUUCUUGUUAUCAGAGUAGAGGUGAGCUUGAGCUUUGGUUCGUUUGAAAAUUGUUCAUGUGCUCCUCACGCUUGUUUUUUCUGCUUGAAUAAACCGCUAUGAGUUGAGUAUUUUGCAGGACAUAGCUGAAGAAGUGGAAAAGAUACAGAAAGCCAUGGGGACAGGAAUAGAUGUGAGCUUUGAUUGUGCAGGCUUUAACAAAACCAUGUCAACAGCACUGGGCGCCACUUGUGCAGGUGGUAAAGUUUGCCUCGUGGGGAUGGGUCAUCAUGAAAUGACUGUCCCACUCACUCCAGCUGCUGUAAGGUACUUGAUUUACGGUUUUCUUUUCUUUUUUUUUUUCUUGUUUUGGGGUACUCCGUUAUUUACUUUAGGAAAAUGCUAUAUACCCUAGGUCAAACCCCAAAACUAAUUCAAGCGAUGUUGUUUGAUCUUUUUUUUUUUUCAUUCACCUUAAAACGACGCCGUUUUGUUUAGCUAACGUCAGCCUUAAUUGCUUUCUCUUCAUCUUCGUUUCAACGACAAAAUCGAUUUGGCUUAGACAAAACCGAUUUCAAGAAACAAAACCGAUUUGGCAAAACCUUUAAGCUUUGAUCUUCCUUCUAGGUGAUUGGAUUUGGCUUAGAUAAGGCAAAAAGGAAAUCUUGAACAAGGUGGCUGCCAGGCGUGAUGGACUGAUGGUGAUGCUAAUGACUAGGUAUGCGUUAUGGUGGCUACCGGUUGUGGAUCGCGAACGGCUGUGAAACGAAGGGGAAGAUAAAGCAGUUGUUUUACAGAGACAUGGAAGGCGAAUGGCUGAGAGACGAAGAGGAAGAGAAAGCAAUUUUGGGCCGACGUUGCUUUUGCCUUAACUAAGCCAAAACGACGUCAUUUUAGGGAGAAUGAAAGGCAAAAAAAAAAAAAAAAAAAAAAGAUGAAACAUUGUCGUUUGCAUUAGUUUUGGAGUUUAACUCGGGGUAAAUAGUAACGCUAUUUACUUUAAGUUUCUAGUUGGUUUCGGCAAAUUCACUUUAAGAUCACUUUUUUUUUUUUUGGAAAUCUGAGAAAAUUUGAAUUAGUGAAAUGUUUUUUUUAUCUGAAUUGCUAAAAAUAAAUUUUAAAUUAUUUUCCAAACCUAAAAAAAAAUAUAAAACUAAUAUUUUUACAUUUAUAUCCUUACAAAUUAUAAAUGUUAAACAAAUAAUAAACAUAUCAAAAAAUAUAAAUAAGAUAAUAUAUUAUUAUAACAUAAAUCAUAUUCAGUUGAAUACAACUCUUUAAUAUUUUAUAUUAAAUAUGUUAAUCUAAUUUAUUAUAGUUUAUGAUGUCUUUAUAUGAAAAAUAUUCAUAAAAAAAUAUGAAGAUAAAUAAUGUUAAUUUGAAAAAAAUAAAAAGAUGAAAAUAAUAAUAAUCUACCACUAUAUAUUAUCACAAGUUAUAUAGAGAUAAGUAAUAAUGCUAAUUAUUAAAUUUUGUUUAGGAAAUGAUGAAAAUUAAUUAGUGAGAUAUGAAUAUUUUGGAGAAUACCUUUUAAUGGUACCAUUAAAACUUUUUAUAUUAAGCAAAAAAGGUAAAAAAAAAUUAGUUCAAUAACUUAAUGACUUAAUAGCUGAAAUUUUUCAUUAAGUUGAAAAAACAAAUAGAUUUAAUGACUUAAUUGAUUAAAAUUAAGUCAAUUAAGUCAAGUCAAAAAAGCAAACGACCACUAAGUCUCUGAAAUGCCAAAAAAAAAAAAAAAAACACAAAACUCGUGGGAGGGGCAUUUCAUUAUUGGAUUGGGAACAAAUGGAUUUAAAAAAAAUGAGAGAAUAAAAAUUGAAUACAAUUACCAAAAAGAUCAUAAAGCCAUCAUUUUUAAGAAAAUGUAAAAUGGUAAACAAAAGUUGUUGAAUAAAAGUUGGAAUGUUCUAGAAUCAAUAGACUUGGAAGAAGAAUGUAAACAAAUUCUUGUGCUUGGGCUGUAUGUUAUCCAAUAGAACACGAUGGCAUGUCAAGAACAACCUCCACAAACCAUCUUGUAUAUUGUUUCUGUUUAAUGACUGUUUUUCCUUUCCUUUUCUCGAAACAUAUGUUUAAUGACUUCUUAAGCUGAAUAACCCGUUUCAGCUUUUAAUUGGACUAAAAUCCGUCUGAACCUUUUACCCUUAAAUUUAUGAGCAUAAUUGCGAACGCAGGGAAGUGGAUGUGGUGGGGGUGUUUCGCUACAAGAACACCUGGCCACUGUGUCUGGAGUUGCUUAGAAGCGGAAAGAUUGAUGUAAAGCCCCUUGUCACGCACAGGUUUGGUUUCUCCCAGAAAGAAGUGGAAGAGGCCUUUGAAACAAGUGCUCGUGGUGGUACUGCAAUCAAGGUCAUGUUUAAUCUGUAAGAUACAAUGUACUGCAAUCAAGGUCAUGUUUAAUCUGUACAAUACAACGGCCAUGUAAACGUUUGGGCAAACGAUUAAAUAAAAUGGAAUUGUCGCCGUGUAAUAUGAACCAAAGUUGAGCUUAUUACUUUAUUUCUCAUCACCUUGCAGCCGCCGGCGUCAGAGCAACCGUCAUCUCGCUCUUGGCUAAUCCUAUCAGGCAAACUUUGCCUCCUGGACAAGUGGCAUUCAAAGCCGUUGACAUGGUUUUGUCAAACCCAACACAAUCAAAGCUCACAUCAAUGCCUGAACCCAUUGCAUUUUGUAUCUUCCCCACUUCUGUAUCAACGUCCUGCCAAUGUUUUUGCACAGCUUCAAGGCCUAGAAAAAAUUGGGAAAGUGAAAACAGAGUGAUAAUCUUCUAUAUCUGACAAUUAACCUCGAUAUCUCUUGAGAAUUUAACUGUUUUAUCCGCGCAAAAAUUCCUCGCAAUAAAUAGACGCUGAACAUCAACAUCAGUGAUGACAAUUCUGGGGGCACCAAAUUCUCGAGCAGCUAACAGGGUAACAAGGCCUAUCGGUCCUCAUCUCAAGAUCAAUACAUUGGUUUCAGGUCCAACGUUUGCACAUUGCUCCUUCCUCCAAGCUCACAUUGUCAGGUAACUUGUAGCAUAACUUUGCUGGAUGCACAACCUAGUUGCAGGAAAAAGAAAAUGUCUCCGUUAUUUACAAUUCUUCUGUACAUAGACCGCAUGUGAAAUUAAAAAUUUAUAGUUUGGGAAGCUGAAGACAUCUGAUCAUUGACCUUAUGGGCAAGAGAGCCGUUGGUUGGAGGAGAUCCAAAGAAUCUCAUUUCAGGGCAAAGAUUAUAGCUACCAGCUUUGCAGAGACUGCAGUGUCCGCAACUAAUACCAGGUUCUAGAGCCACACGAUCACCCACCUCAAGGGACUUAACUUCACUGCCAACUGCUUCUAUGAUCACAGCACACUCAUGUCCAAUUACCAUAGGUUUUUUCACAAUAAAAUUAGCACAUCUCAUAGUCUGAUCAUAAACAACAUGUUGCAUAAAAUAAGCAGUGACAGCCUUUGGCAUAUCAUACAAUCAUCAAGAUUUUGCAUAGAGACAGACAGAAAGCUUUUUCACCUUGAAGUGAUGAACAUCACUUCCACAUAGGGAGAUUGCCAAUCUCCCCCCUACAGUAAUCAACAUAUACCAUUUUUCCCUCUGCUGUUUUUAUAAUGGCCACAAACCCCCAUAAUAGCAUAAGUUUACAAUAUUACACUUAUUUUCAACAACUCUUUUAUUUAUAUUUAUUAUAAAUUAAAUAAAUCAUAUGAAUAGAAACUAAAUAAAAAAUUAAGCAUUAAAAACAAGAAAUAUAUGUUUUGAUAUGAACAAAAAAAUUAAUAAUAAAUUUUUUUAUACUUAUUUAUUUUGUGAAAAUUUUCUUAUAAUAAAUAUAUAAGAAAAUUAUUAGUAAAAUGAUAAAAAAAUUAUUAUAAGAAAACUUGAAUGACAAAUAAAAAUUUAUUAUAAGAUAAAUAAUAAAAUAUUUUGCCUAUACUUUUUACAUUUAAUUUUAAAAUAUUAUAAAAUGUUUAUUAUAAGAAAAUGUUCACAAAAUAAAUAAUUACAAGAAAAAAUUUAUUAUUAAUUUUUUUGCUCAUAUCAAAACAUAUAUUUCUUGUUUUUAAUACUUAAUUUUUUUUAUUUAGUUUCUAUUCAUGUAAUUUAUUUAAUUUAUAAUAAAUGUAAAUAAAAGAAUUGUUAAAAAUAAAGGCAAUAUUAUAAACUUAUGUUGUCAGCUUGUCAAGGGAGUUUUUGACUAUUAUAAAAAUAAAAAGGAGAUAAAUGAUAUAUGUUAAUUAGUGUAGGGGAGAAAGUGACAAUCCCCCCUCUCCACAUAUUCCAAGAGCCUUAAUUCGUACUUUCACGUUUUGAGGACCUAAAAAUUACACAAAUUUUUUUUUUUUUUUUUUGGCAUGGCACGGCAUGACAAGUGAUCUGAUUAAAUUCACAGUUGUGCGUAUAGAAUAAACGAGAAGAAGAUAAAAAUAUAAUAUCUAGGGUAGGCAAAUGAUAUGGCUGAAUUUUCAGAGUUUUGAUUCCAAGCAGCCGUGUUCUGAUUCUCGUCUCCUUCGUUAUCUCUGAUUGCCUUAACUUCACCAUCACCACCCUUCGUUAUCUCUUUUUACACAGUGUUAUUGUGUCUCGUAUUAUCCCCUGGAAGUGAAGCUGACUAGAUCCUAGUUAAAAUUGCCUCCUUUUUCUUUUCUUUUUCCCAUCUCAUUUCCCUUGUGCCUGCCAAACAAACUUCUUAAUUAUUAUAGUCACCUUUUUGUACAGGUAUUCCCUUCCCUCCCAUUAUUAAUUUAUUUAAAUUAUAUGAAUUUUAAAAUAUUAUUUCAUGUGACCAUAUUCAUUAAAAGAAGUCAUGAAAAUCAAAUUAUUGGCUUUCUUUUAGUCCAUAGUACCGUACAAUUCUUUCAUACCAUUUUGCAAAAUUAGCCACCCCCCACAUACAUGUAGUUGAUUUUGAUUCCUUUAUGAAGAUACAAUUAUUGCACAGUUUGGAUUUUGGGGUCCAUAAAUUCUGAAAAAAACAAAAUUAACAAACAACCAACGGUUCUGAAACCGAUAAAUUCUCUCCACGUAAGCACGUUAUCCCUUUGAAAAGAGAAACCAUAAUCUCUAUUAGAUAGUGUACAGAGUGAAGUCUCUGCUGUGCACUUGUGUUUUUGAAGAGUGAAAAGCAAAUAUGGGCAAGGGAGGGAUGUCACAAGGAGAAAAGGAAGAUGGAGAAGAAGUUAACAUGGCAGCUUGGCUUAUGGGUGUCAACACCCUCAAGAUUCAGCCUUUGGAGCUUCCUUCUCUGGGUAUUUUUAUCUUUCUUUCAUCUCUGUCUUGUAUCUUAGAAGUGUUAUGGAGUUUGUUUAUUGGUUGAAGAUAUGAACUUUGUUAGAUUGAUAUAUAUCUAAAGAGAGAUCUUUGGUUGAAAAACAAUAAAAACACAUCUUCCAAUACAGCUUAUCUUAUACCUCUUACAAUUGAAUUAACUAUCACUCACAAUUAAUGUAUUUCAAACUGAUUGUUUUAACAUCUUUGUUAGUUAUUUGUAAACUGUAGGACCUUAUGAUGUUUUAGUCAGGAUGAAAGCCGUUGGUGUUUGUGGAAGUGAUGUGCAUUUUCUCAAGGUAUAUUUGUUUAUCCCUCUUCAACUUCCCUUAAUUUAUUAUUAUUAUUAUUAUGGCAAUUACUCUGUCAAAUUGCUGAGAAAUGUUAAUAACGGAAUAUUUUCACUUUAUGUUAUUCAAAAUAAUACUUGAAUGUUGAAUGUUUGUGUAUUUUUGCAGACCUUGAGGCUUGCCGAUUUUGUAGUGAAAGAGCCUAUGGUGAUCGGGCAUGAGUGUGCUGGGGUCAUAGAGAAGGUGGGAAGCGAGGUGAAGACUUUGGUGCCCGGUGACCGUGUGGCCCUGGAACCAGGGAUCAGCUGCUGGCAAUGUGAUUACUGCAAAGGAGGUCGAUACAAUUUGUGUCCAGAGUCGAAAGGUCUUGGAAGUCCGCCAGUUCAUGGUUGUCUGGCUAAUCAGGUUGAUUGAAAAUUUACAUUUUGAACUAAGUUCUAUAGGACUAUGAGAUGAGAAAUAUGGUAGACUGACUUUAACACAGUUUAUGCCCUUGUAAAUUUCAGUAAUGAUAUACUUACAACGGUUAGUAUAUACCAUCACUACAGAACAAAAAAAUUUCAUAACAAGAUAAAAGAAAAUUCCACUGUAAGACAAGUUUUUUUUUUCCCUUUCUCUUAGAGAUUUUGUACUAAUUACUAUACAUACAUUAUUAUUCUAUAAAUUUUACUGUUUGAGAUUUUUUCGUGUAUUAGAUUAUUGCUACAAUAUGAUCUAUGCCCUUGUGAAUUCUGUUGUUAAAUAGUGGUGUCACUUUACUUGUUUUUCCAAAAACAUACUGGUUACUGUCAAUUGUGUAGUUCCCAUUUGAUCUUCUGUUCCCUCUUGUCAUAUAUUUUUUAUCUGGCAAUGUUUGUUGAUUCCUUUUAUUUGAAAUGAAAUUGGCUGCUAUCAAAAUUGAUCAGCUGCUUGACAUAAUGACUAAGAUGCAUUUCUUCUCUAUAAUAGGUGGUGCAUCCUGCAGACCUAUGUUUUAAGCUGCCCGACAAUGUCAGCCUGGAGGAAGGGGCUAUGUGUGAGCCCUUGAGUGUUGGUGUUCAUGCCUGCCGCCGUGCCAAUAUCGGUCCUGAGACAAAUGUGCUUAUCAUGGGAUCAGGGCCCAUAGGACUUGUCACAAUGCUAGGAGCUCGUGCUUUUGGAGCUCCUAGAAUUGUCAUUGUGGAUGUGGAUGACUAUCGUUUAUCUGUUGCAAAGAAACUUGGUGCAGAUAAUAUUGUUAAAGUUUCAACAAAUUUGCAGGUAUAUUACUGCCCAUUGCCCAGCAGAAGAGUUUAGAAAAGUAAAAGACAUCUCAAAAUCUUCAUGCUCGCAAUCCUUCCCUUUCUCUUAAUCAUCAUAACAACAUGUUCUGUUCAACCAACUCUGUUGCAUUAAGACCUUGUUCCAACUUCCUCAGUUCUUUUUUGUUCUCAGUACCUUUUUGUUUUCUGUUUGAAAGUUGACCACUCUAAUCUGCAUUAUUCUUGUUAUCAGAGUAGAGGUGAGCUUGAGCUUUGGUUCGUUUGAAAAUUGUUCAUGUGCUCCUCACGCUUGUUUUUUCUGCUUGAAUAAACCGCUAUGAGUUGAGUAUUUUGCAGGACAUAGCUGAAGAAGUGGAAAAGAUACAGAAAGCCAUGGGGACAGGAAUAGAUGUGAGCUUUGAUUGUGCAGGCUUUAACAAAACCAUGUCAACAGCACUGAGUGCCACUCGUGCAGGUGGUAAAGUUUGCCUCGUGGGGAUGGGUCAUCGUGAAAUGACUGUCCCACUCACCCCAGCUGCUGCAAGGUACUUGAUUUACAGUUUUCUUUUUCAUUUUUUUUUAUUGUUUUGGGCUACUCCGUUAUUUACUUUAAGUUUUUAAUUGGUUUCAGCAAAUUCACC
rnacentral:lncRNA from 1 species